CCUACGGGCGGCUGCAGUGAGGAAUAUUGGGCAAUGGGGGCAACCCUGACCCAGCCAUGCCGCGUGAGUGAAGAAGGUCUUCGGAUUGUAAAGCUCUUUCGGACGUGACGAUGAUGACGAUAGCUCCUAAAGAAGCACCUGCAAACUUGGUGCCAGCAGCCGCGGUAAUACGAAGGGUGCGAGCGGUGUUCGGAAUUACUGGGCGUAAAGGGAGUGUAGGCGGAUAUGUAAGAUAGCGGUGAAAUGCCGGGGCUCAACCCCGGAACUGCCAUUAUGACUAUGUAUCUAGAGUAAUGGAGAGGAUAGCGGAAUACCGAGUGUAGAGGUGAAAUUCGUAGAUAUUGGGUAGAACACCAGUGGCGAAGGCGGCUAUCUGGCCAUUUACUGACGCUGAAGCACGAAAGCGUGGGUAGCAAACAGGAUUAGAUACCCGAGUAGUC
rnacentral:rRNA from 1 species